rnacentral:rRNA from 1 species
GUAGUCCACGCCGUAAACGGUGGGCACUAGAUGUGGGGACCAUUCCAUGGUUUCCGCGUCGCAGCUAACGCAUUAAGUGCCCCGCCUGGGGAGUACGGCCGCAAGGCUAAAACUCAAAGGAAUUGACGGGGGCCCGCACAAGCGGCGGAGCAUGCGGAUUAAUUCGAUGCAACGCGAAGAACCUUACCAAGGCUUGACAUAUACGGUCUAUCCCUAGAGAUAGGGAGUGCUUCGGCGCCGUAUACAGGUGGUGCAUGGUUGUCGUCAGCUCGUGUCGUGAGAUGUUGGGUUAAGUCCCGCAACGAGCGCAACCCUCGUCCUAUGUUGCCAGCGGAUAAUGCCGGGGACUCAUGGGAGACUGCCGGGGUCAACUCGGA